rnacentral:rRNA from 1 species
AUGUAAUCCCUACAACAUUAAUGCAUUGGAUCCCAUUAUAACUCCACAAUUAAGCAUUCUUAGGCUAGAGUAGUAUUGGGAUGGGUGACCUCCUGGGAAAUCCUAGUGUUUUACAUG